rnacentral:misc_RNA from 1 species
GACAACACAUCUCCUCACUCGUAGCAAACAUCUCUCAUUGAAACAGAUGAGGCAGUAGAUUCACUACCCUUCAGCUUUUGCCAGCCCUCCUCUCCAAACCCACUUCACAACUUCAGCAACAUCCCAAUUUUUUUCACACCAAAAAAAUGAAAACUCCCUCCAUUACUUUAUAGAUUCAUCAUCCAUCUAGAAGAUUUCAACAUUGGUGUUAUCAUCAAUAAUAACUCUGAUUUAGUGAGCCUAAAUAGAGUCAGUGACAUUGUAAAUUGAACAAAUCGAUUUUCUAUAGAAGAGGAUAUGUACAAUGAAAAUUCUUAUUCAUAUUCGAGAGAUUUAUCUGAUGUUGAAUAGGUUUUCUAAAACUCAAAAAGUUUGAAUAUUAAAUGGAAUUUUUUGGUUUUUCUGAAAUUUUGCUAAAUUUUUAGAUUUGUUUGGAUUGAUUGGCUAGAUUUUUGGUAGCCAAAGAAGAAGAAGAAGAAGAGAACAAGGAGAAGGUGAACAAAAAAUGAGUUUU